AAACUAACAAGGAUUCCCCUAGUAGCGGCGAGCGAAGCGGGAAGAGCUCAAAUUUAUAAUCUGGCGCUUUCAGCGUCCGAGUUGUAAUCUCUAGAAGUGUUUUCCGCGUUGGACCGCACAUAAGUCUGUUGGAAUACAGCGGCACAGUGGUGAGACCCCCGUAUACGGUGCGGAUGCCCAAUGCUUUGUGAUACACUCUCGAAGAGUCGAGUUGUUUGGGAAUGCAGCUCAAAUUGGGUGGUAAAUUCCAUCUAAAGCUAAAUAUUGGCGAGAGACCGAUAGCGAACAAGUACCGUGAGGGAAAGAUGAAAAGCACUUUGGAAAGAGAGUUAACAGUACGUGAAAUUGUUGGAAGGGAAACGCUUGAAGUCAGACUUGCUUUUCGGGGUUUACUCCGGUUGGCAGGCCAGCAUCAGUUUUCCGGGGCGGAAAAUCACGGUUAGAAGGUAGCAGUUUCGGCUGUGUUAUAGCUUUCCGUUGGAUACGUCCUGGGGGACUGAGGAACGCAGUGUGCUUUUAGCGAGGGCUUCGG
rnacentral:rRNA from 1 species